GAUGAACGCUGGCGGCGUGGAUUAGGCAUGCAAGUCGAACGGUAUCAUCCUUUCGGGGGUGAGAGAGUGGCGAACUGGUGAGUAACACGUAGGUUAUCUACCCUCAAGACGGGGACAACCCAGGGAAACUUGGGCUAAUACCGGAUGUGAGCAACUUUUAGUUGUUUGAAAGGUGGCGUAAGCUGUCGCUUGGGGAUGAGCCUGCGUCCUAUUAGUUAGUUGGUGAGGUAACGGCUCACCUAGGCAAUGAUAGGUAGGCGGCCUUAACGGGUGGUCGCCCACACUGGGAUUGAGAUACGGCCCAGACUCCUACGGGAGGCAGCAGUCGAGAAUAGUCUACAAUGGUCGGAAGACUGAUAGUGCGACGCCGCGUGAACGAUGAAUCCCUUCGGGGUGUAAAGUUCUUUUAUAUGUGAGCAGUGCUUCUUAUAUUAACAGUAUGGGGAGAGAGAUAUUAGCAUAUGAAUAAGCAACGGCUAACUCCGUGCCAGCAGCCGCGGUAAA
rnacentral:rRNA from 1 species